rnacentral:rRNA from 1 species
UAAUGGCAGGUCAGCAUACUGCCGUGAAUACGUUCCCGGGCCUUGUACACACCGCCCGUCACACCAUGAGAGUUGGAGAUACCCGAAGCCUGUGAGCUAACAAACGAGGCAGCAGUCGAAGGUAGAAUCAAUGAUUGGGGUGAAGUCGUAACAAGGUAGC